rnacentral:rRNA from 1 species
CUAAACGGCCGCGGCACUUAAACCGUGCAAAGGUAGCACAAUCACUUGUCCCUUAAAUGAGGACCCGUAUGAAAGGCAACAUGAGAGGAGAUCUGUCUCCUAAGACUAGCCAAUGAAAUUGAACUGCCAGUACAAAAACUGGUAUAUAAAAGUAAGACAAAAAGACCCCGUGGAACUUUAACAAAUUGAUUACCCUCCCCCCUAAUCAAUAGUUUCAGUUGGGACAACUUUAGAAAAAAUAAACCUCUAAAAAUACCAAGACCAACAAGUCAACCACCACAACACAUGAUCCAGUCGCACUGACUAACGAAACAAGCUACCCCGGGGAUAACAGCGCCACCUUCUCAAAGAGUCCAUAUCAACAAGAAGACCUACGACCUCGAUGUUGGAUCAGGGUACCCAGACGGUGCAACAGCCGUCAAUGGUUCGUUUGUUCAACGACUAACACCCUACGUGA